GUAGGUGAACCUGCGGAAGGAUCAUUAUUGAAUAAAUUCUGUCGGGUUGCUGCUGGCUCUUAGGAGCAUGUGCACGCCUGGCACCAUUUUUACCACCUGUGCACUUUUUGUAGACCUGGACAACUCUCGAGGUAACUCGGAUUGAGGAUCUGCUGUGUGACAAGCCAGCUUUCCUUGAGUUCUGGUCUAUGAUUUUAUAUACCCCAUAAGAAUGUAACAGAAUGUUUUAUUGGCCUUUGUGCCUUUAAUUUAAUACAACUUUCAACAACGGAUCUCUUGGCUCUC
rnacentral:misc_RNA from 1 species